rnacentral:rRNA from 1 species
ACGAACGCUGGCGGCGUGCUUAACACAUGCAAGUCGAACGGAAAGGCCCUGCUUUUGUGGGGUGCUCGAGUGGCGAACGGGUGAGUAACACGUGAGUAACCUGCCCUUGACUUUGGGAUAACUUCAGGAAACUGGGGCUAAUACCGGAUAGGAGCUCCUGCUGCAUGGUGGGGGUUGGAAAGUUUCGGCGGCUGGGGAUGGACUCGCGGCUUAUCAGCUUGUUGGUGGGGUAGUGGCUUACCAAGGCUUUGACGGGUAGCCGGCCUGAGAGGGUGACCGGCCACAUUGGGACUGAGAUACGGCCCAGACUCCUACGGGAGGCAGCAGUGGGGAAUAUUGCACAAUGGGCGGAAGCCUGAUGCAGCAACGCCGCGUGCGGGAUGACGGCCUUCGGGUUGUAAACCGCCUUCGCCUGUGACGAAGCGUGAGUGACGGUAAUGGGUAAAGAAGCACCGGCUAACUACGUG